GGCGGAAGUAAACAUGGAGGACACUGUGGAGAGUCAGGAGAGCAGCUAUUGUGCAACUUUAGACCCCGUUUCUCGGGAGAGAUAUAAACAGAUAGUUAAAAAAUAUAUCGGACGUGAUCCGUAAAAUGUCCGAAUACACCACAGAAGUAAAGGAUUUGCCUACUAUCGAGGCUGUGGAUAUCACCAACUACUUGGUCCUCCAGACUUCUUACUACACUAGGCAGCAAAUGAAAGCUUUCAAGAGUCUGGAGGCGUACAAUUUUUUUGUCAGCGGGUGGGUCCACAACCUUGGAACAAAACGUCUCCGUGAUGGAUACAGUUUGGUAUUUGCAAGGAUCUGGAAAAUGCAAGUCCCAGGGGCUCUUCUCUUCCUCGUCAUGGGCUCUAUCUCUGCCAAAAAGGUGGGGGAUUUUGGUGUGUUUACUGCUUGCAUCGACACAAAGGAAAAUAACAGUCUCAGAUUGCAGUGCUACUAUCAAGACUGUUCACAACCUCCCUAUAUGCCCUUCAGCUGUGAAUUCAAGACAUCGAAUGGAGGUAUACUGGCUACAAUGAAAAACACGAUGUGCAAGAAUUACACUGUCCCAUUAACAGAACACAGUCUUAGCGAGUUGCAAGAGACUGGUAAUGUGACAAACUUCACAUGCACACUGACAAGAAACAAGAGGACUGAAACGAAGAAUAUCACCAUAGACUACAAGGCACACAAAGAAAAACAACGAGUCCCAAAGUGCUGUGCUGCAAGCCCAACCUCCCUGUGGCCUGUGGUGCUCCUCACUCUGUGGAGAGUCGUUGACUCCUGAUGAAGCAAGCAUGAAGGAGGGUCUCUGAACGCUUUGACUAACACAGAUGUAUCUGUUCCAUUUAGGCAUUUUGAAAUUUAAGAAACUUUCUUAAAUACAUUUCUAUGCAGGCUUCCAUUACUUGCCUGAUCCCCAAGUACAUGCAAUAAUGCAGUAUGUUAACAUAUAAACUGAAUUCCAACUAUGAUAUAUGAUAAUAUGAUAUAUUAAAGACUUAUGAAUUAAAAGCAUUAACUCAC
ensembl:lncRNA